GUAUGUGGGCGGACAUUACGAGGAGGGGCCGCGAGGGAUUGGUGGACAGUCGGGCACCAUUCGCCAAUUGUGGGAAAGGGGAAGCAGAUACCUCAAAUCGUACGAAUCCAAAAUGGUGGGCGCCUUCCGGGCCUCUAGUUGUCUGCCGCGAGUGACCGAGAUCUCUGCCCCGUUGCUGACCUAUUUUAGGAGGGAGAAAACAGGAAGAAGUUUCUUAAAACCAAAGAAGCGAUGGCAAGUCUUAACUUGAAGUUUGGGAAUCACUGGUUUUCAAGUUAGAACUGAAUGAACAACUGUUGACAACCGCGGUUGCCCGUUGCAUGCCAACGGCAGCAAACAACAGGAUCAGCUAGGGUGGAAUAACUGUGGAAGCCCU